rnacentral:rRNA from 1 species
AAGUCGUAACAAGGUCUCCGUAGGUGAACCUGCGGAGGGAUCAUUAUCGAAUGGUUCUUGGACCUUUCCAACCCUUCAAACCUGUGGAAGCGAUAUCGUGCUUCGGUGCCCCGUAAGGGUCGCCGUUUUUAUGCCGGAAUCUGUGUGUUGUCUGAGUGAAACAUUAGAAUCAAAACUUUCAACAAAGGAUCUCUUGGCUCUCGCAUCGAUGAAGAACGCAGCGAAGCGCGAAAUGUAGUGUGAAUCGCAGAACAUUGUGAAUCAUCGAAUCUUUGAACGCACAUUGCGCCUCCCGUAACAGAGAGGCAUGCCUGUCUGAGUCUCAUUAAAUCUCUAAACCCCUGGGUUUGUGCUUGGGCGUUCGCCGAUAGGGCGUCGCCUCAAAGUCAUCUGUCUUAUGAGCGGACGAGAUCCUUUCGGACUUACCGUUUGUGGGACCCAAAAUCUCUAAUUUGAGCUCAGAUCAGGUAGGACUACCGCCUGAACUUAA